UGGGCACUGGGAGUGCAGUUUUUUAAAUUUUUUUAACAAGGAUUCAGUGAAUACUGAAGCAGCCUCAACACUGAAGGUCUCUACAUUUCUUUACAAAUGUUAUACAGACAUACAAGAAUUUCCAAUUUGCCUUCAUCCCCUUUGGAAUUUGUAUCUAUACAAGAUAUCAGCACUGGAAGGAAAAAAACAUGAUGCUCCUUAUGCAAAUGAAAUUCUCACUGUAAGAAUUUCAUUUCUGAACAGGCUGCAGAAUCAAUGAUCAUCACUGCACACUUCGAGCAUAUUUGGCAGCAAGUCCAAUGCUUUUGAGGGAUUCCAGAAAUGGAGAUUUUAUCAACUGAGGAUACAAUAUCCUUAUUUUUCCAUGCAAGUACAAACCCUGUCUUCACAGCUGUAACCGAGGAAGGAAGCAUUCUUUGCCAGGCGUGAAGAAACUAUUGUUUCUGAAAGACGUUCAUACGGACAAAUCAG
rnacentral:lncRNA from 1 species